rnacentral:lncRNA from 1 species
GGGCAACAGAGCAAGAGCCUGUUGGGUGGCACUGGGGGCGCUGUGCCUCGCCCGGAGCCUCACCCAGAGCCUUCUGGGGUGGUGGAUAGCUGCUAAGAAGACCGCAGCAGCCUUCAUAAGUUGUAUCUUCCCCUUUACUGAAGAAUCACCAGUCACCUACAGUUGCACAGCAAGCAUGGGAAAAUAACUGAAAUUUUGAUGUGCCAUUUCUCACUUCUUUAAGAACCCUCCUUCAAAUUCCUGAAUAAAGCUGCUAACUAAGACAAAUGAAUUUUAAAA